rnacentral:snRNA from 1 species
CCAUUUGCCUAGUGCCGGGGUCUCAUUGAUCACCGAGGACGAUCCCCCAGGGCGAGUCGCCAGCAUUGCACUGCGCUCGUCUUGACCCCUGCCACUACCCCAAAUUGGGGCAGAUGGGGCAUGCAAAUUGC